AACGAACGCCGGCGGCAGGCUUAACACAUGCAAGUCGAGCGCCCCGCAAGGGGAGCGGCAGACGAGUGAGUAACGCGUGGGAAUCUACCCAUCUCUACGGAAUAACGCAUGGAAACGUGUGCUAAUACCGUAUACGUCCUUCGGGAGCAAGAUUUAUCGGAGAUGGAUGAGCCCGCGUUGGAUUAGCUAGUUGGUGGGGUAAAGGCCUACCAAGGCGACGAUCCAUAGCUGGUCUGAGAGGAUGAUCAGCCACACUGGGACUGAGACACGGCCCAGACUCCUACGGGAGGCAGCAGUGGGGAAUAUUGGACAAUGGGCGCAAGCCUGAUCCAGCCAUGCCGCGUGAGUGAUGAAGGCCCUAGGGUUGUAAAGCUCUUUCACCGGUGAAGAUAAUGACGGUAACCGGGGAAGAAGCCCCGGCUAACUUCGUGCCAGCCGCCGCAGUAAUAC
rnacentral:rRNA from 1 species